AAGGGCACCGCAAGAACGCGUGGAGCAUGUGGCUUAAUUUGACUCAACGCGGGAAAUCUUACCGGGUCCGGACACACUGAGGAUUGACAGGUAACGUUAUACACACAUAUAUUUACUCUCGGGUAUUUAUACUGCUGUGUAUAUAUAAAAUAUGCUAGUCCUUUCAUGAUUAUGUGAUAGGUGGUGCAUGGCCGUUCUUAGUUCGUGGAGUGAUCUGUCUGCUUAAUUGCGUUUCACUAAGGAUCUAUAUUCAUAUUACGCAUAGCAUUUUGACCCCUUUAUGCUUCGGUAUAAAGCUGCGCGUCAAACCUUGCUAUCUGCGUAUAUUAGAUCCUGAAAGCAACGAACGUGACCGCAACCUCUUGUUGCCUUUAACUAGGUUUUGCUUACGUAUAGCUUCGGCUUUACGCUUUGCAUCUAAAAAGGCUGAUUUUCUAAACUAGAGGGACCGCUGUUACUUUCUUAAACCAGAGGAAGGUUGCGGCAAUAACAGGUCUGUGAUGCCCUUUAGAUGUUCCGGGCCGCACACGUGCUACAAUGAUUAUUGCAGUGAGCAUCUCAUAUAUUGAUUUUAUUCACACACCGCUUGCGCGUGGCUUAUGCACUUUACACUUCGUUGUAUCGCGUAUUCGCUUUCUGCGCGCGGUACAGCCUGCUUCGACAGUCUAGUGGGUAAUCAAUUAGAAGUAAUGAUUUCCAUAUAGCGCACACUAUAUACGCACAUCUUAUGUCCUUGAUGAACUUGUUUCAACAUGUGUACGUAUAGAUGUUUUUUGCGUAUGUGCACAAUUGUCAAUUCAUGGUGGGGACAGACCAUUGUUAAUUGUUGGUCUCGGUCUUAACUAGGAAUGCCUUGUACGGGUCUUUGGUUCAACAAACCACCCGGAAUACGUCCCUGCCCUUUGUACACACCGCCCGUCGCUC
rnacentral:rRNA from 1 species